AAGAAAUCCUGCACCACUGGAUGAACUCUCUGUAUAAGACGUUGUGGUUUCUCUUGUAACUGUCAUAAAAGACAUUGUUUAAAAUUAGCAUGCAAACCAGCUAGCUUGGGAACCUAGUCUUGCAAUACAACCCUGUACCUCCAGUGGUGCUACACUGAAUACAAUGCAUUCAAGAGUCAAUCUCCAUACUCCAAUGGCAGAGGCAGACCCAUUAAGCCCACCAACUGUUGUUAACAACAAAAUGAUUUACCGGAUGAAAGAAAAUGCAUACUGAUGUGUAUCCUACUACAUUGUAUACUACUACUUUAUCCUACAACAAAAACAAACAACUUUAAGUAAGGGAUAAUGGACGACACGGCAGUCUGUUCACAGAAAUGAAUGCAC